rnacentral:rRNA from 1 species
UACGGAGGGUGCAAGCGUUAUCCGGAUUCACUGGGUUUAAAGGGUGCGUAGGUGGGUUGGUAAGUCAGUGGUGAAAUCUCCGAGCUUAACUUGGAAACUGCCAUUGAUACUAUCAGUCUUGAAUAUUGUGGAGGUCAGCGGAAUAUGUCAUGUAGCGGUGAAAUGCUUAGAUAUGACAUAGAACACCAAUCGCGAAGGCAGCUGGCUACACAUAUAUUGACACUGAGGCACGAAAGCGUGGGGAUCAAACAGG